AACACAAUUAUCAAGAUGAAUUCAGCCCACCCCAGAGCCAACCUGGAGGGCCAAGGUGACCAGCCACACCUGAGGCAGCUUAUUCACAGUUACGAGGGAAGAAAGACUACUGGAACAAGUAGGAGACUAAAAGAGAUGGAAAGAGGUAUAAAAAGACAACUCAGAUUUUGAGGAAUGAAUUGAUUGAUGUACAACAACAAGUCAUCACUACAAAUUAAACAUAGGUCUAGGAUGCCAAAUCUAGAGACCAGAAAUGCACAAGCAGCUUCUCCCUGAAGAAGCAGCCCAGACCAUACAAUAGCAGCCGCACAGAACUCUGAAUCACACGCUGCUGUCUGUGGGAACACAGCUGCUGUCAAACAAAACAAAACAAUUUCACUGAACAGGUUAGUUCCACAUUCUCGUACAACAGAAAGACGAAUUCAGGUACAAGACAAAGGACAUAAUUUCCAGCGACAGACUGUCAGGCCUAAUGUUAAACUGCCUCAAAUAUACACAAGAUCUCUAAUGACCUCCGGUGGCUACAACUGAAAUUGCUUGGUUUGUGACACCUGAGACUGGAGCCUGGUGCACAGUGAUUAUGGAUAUGGGCUUCAGUCCAUUGUUUUCUUAUCUUGAAAGCUGCAAAGUUGGAGUAAAAGAAACAGCAAAUGACUACCAUAAAAUGUCCCUUCCUCCUGACUUUUAGCCAUUAACUGAAGAGCCUGCCUCUCUGUAAGAUGUCUUUGCAGCCAGGAAGCUAUCUGUCUCCCAGGGAUUCCUCCAAGGAAAGUCAGUUGUGCCCAGAGAUACAAAAGGAAGAAGCCAUUGGAGGAGAGAAGAAAUGUCUGAUCAGGGUGUCAUGACAGAGAAGACAGAUGACUUCUGGGCAUAGCUUGAAGUCUUACAGCUUCCAGUUUUGCAUCAUGAGAGACCACGUGGAAAGAGAGAGACUGAACUUCGCCGGCUGUUGCAGCCAUCCCAAAGCACAGAUGCACAAAUGAAGUCAUCCAGAUGUUGGCCUCUCCACCAAGCUCCCAGGUGCACCCCAGCCACAACACAGGAAGCAAAGAACUGCCCAGCCGAAGGCAGCCAACCGCAGAAUUGUGGAAAAUAAAGAAUUCCUUAAUGUGAGAGAGUAAGAAGGGGCAAG